rnacentral:rRNA from 1 species
CACGGGGGGAGCAAGCGUUGUUCGGAAUUACUGGGCGUAAAGGGCGUGUAGGCGGUCGAGUAAGUGGGAUGUGAAAUGCUCCGGCUCACCCGGAGACCGGCAUCUCAAACUGCUCGGCUCGAGUAUGGUAGAGGGUGGUGGAAUUUCCUGUGUAGCGGUGAAAUGCGUAGAUAUAGGAAGGAACACCAGUGGCGAAGGCGACCACCUGGACUGAUACUGACACUGAGGUGCGAAAGCGUGGGGAGCAAACAGG